rnacentral:lncRNA from 1 species
GGAAGUGAUAGCAUUAGCAGAAAUACCUAAUGUAGACGACGGGUUGAUGGCUGCAGCAAACCACCAUGGCACGAGUAUAUCUAUGUAAUAAACGUGCAGGUUCUGCACAUGUAUCCCAGAACUUAAAGUAUUAUAAUUUAAAAAAAGAAAAAGAAAAAAGAGAUUCUCUCUAUAGCCAAUUAUGUUAGGAAACAUGCCCCAUCUUUGAUAGCAUUAGCAUAUUGAAGACUGAGCAAUUAUUCAACAAAGAAACCUGUUUAACAUUACCUAAUUGAAUAUUUUCUAAAUUUAUUUGUCUUCAGAACACUACUUUUCCCAUCUAACACCUAUUAAUUUUCCCAAGAAAUGCCAAUACAUUUUUUUUAAUUUCAAGAAAUUACAUGAGAAUGGCAGUGCAAAUAAUGAUGUAUCUUAGAGGAAGGAAAGAAUGGUUGAGAGAAGACUUUAUAUCCUUAGAAUAGGAAAUAAUUGGUCACAUUUGUAGAAUGAAAAGAAUGAAACAUAGGGGAGGGAGGAAUUGAAGAUGCUGUAACAAGCAAUGAUCUGAUUUCUUUAGCCCUGGUAAGAAAUGCACAGUUAAACUGUGGGUGGAUUUUCUUUUCUCAAGCCUCUCUUCUCCAUUGAUGACCUCACAGAGUCCAGAAGACAAGGGAACAUGGACUGGCAUUCUAAUGUAACAUUCAUUCAUGCCUCAACAUUUAUUGAGCAUCUUCUAUGUGUCUCGUCUAGACAAUAGAGGUGACUAUUCCAUUUGGAAUGCCAACAAAAGCCUCACCCAAAAAAUGAAACUUAAAUUGGUUUUUCAAAAGUGAGUGGAUAAUUCACUAGGAAGAAAAAGAAGAAUAUGAAAGACAGAAGAAAGCAUGAGAAAACAACAAUGAAAGAACAAAGUAGCAGUCCAAAAAAUUGUGACUGAAAUACGGAUGGGACUGGUAGAACAUGAGGCUGGAAAAUUAGACUAGGCCACACAUAUACAAAAACUUUAAAUGGCAUGCAAAACAAACAGUUUGGGAUUUAUGAGGUAUAAAAUAGGAAAAGACAUGCUAUAUUUGUCUUACAGAAAAAUCACUUUGACAGCAGUGUGAGUGAUAAACUGGAGACCUGCCACAGAGGGACUAGUUUAGAGCCUACUGCAAUUAUGGAACUGUUGCAGGUUUCCAUGGAUACAACUGGGUAUAAAGUAUUAUUUAGUAACAGAGCCUGAAACAUCAUGUGAUCAUUACUGGUUUAAAGCAAACCUCCUACCUCAGGAUUUGGGCACCUUUCCAAAAUAUAAACUCAGCAUUUAUAUCAACUGCUGCUAUGAAAGUUAUUUGGGAUCAUGUAGAUGACCUUUCAUGCAAAAAGUAGAUCACAAAAUAAAUAAUUGGAGUUUUAGAAGACUUGAACUCUACAGCAUAGAGAAACCAACAAAACCAACCUAAUAAAAAUAUUGCAUCUUAAAGGAUCCAAGGUCAUCAAGAGCAGGGGGCCAUAGAGCUUAAUUUUUUUUAGUGUUAUUCAAGCAUCUAAAACAGCCAGACACACUACAUGCUUAGUAAGUAUCUUCAGAUGAGCCCUUUUCAAUGAGAUAGUGAGUCACUGGAAUGUCUUACUGUAAAAGAGAAAGGGAUCUAAAAUUUAUUGAGCCACAACUAUAAUUCAAGUGAUUUACGAUAACUAUUAUAUAUUUUAUGCUAACUCUUAAACAAGGUAUUCUCUCCACUUGAGAGUCAGAAGCAAGUAUACAGAUAGAACUUAUUUCCACGAGGCUCCAAAGUCCUUUCUUCUACCCUGUAAAGUUGAGAAAGCCACAUAAAACCUUCCACUUCUUGAUGCAUAGCCUUGCUUGAGCUAAACUAGAGCAGGCUAUAAUGAUGUCCUCAUAAGGAAAGAUGUAAGAUUUUUGGGGGGGCAGGGAGAGCAGACCAGUAAAUGUCAUUUCUGCAGGAAAGUGAAGUCAGUGGACUUUUAAAAUUUCAUACUCUGUCUCCUGAACUUAUUAAAUAAAGAGUCAGGUAAAGAUUUCUAAUAUUCUAAAUUCAGUUUACUCCUUUUUUUAAUGAAUAUAAUUCCUACAGUGGGAAGUGCAUGGACUCUAGAGCAAGACAGACCUAAGUUCAAAUUCUGGGCUUUACCUCCUCCUAUCUCUGACUUUAAUCAGGUUAUUCUCAUUUAUCUAGUAAGUAUUGAUCCCCAUAUCUAAUGAAAGAGACAAUCACCCCACAGAGUUGAUUCAAGGUUGAAGUAAGGUAACCUAAUCUCUAAUAUGGUACCUGGCCUCUGGUAAGCACUCUAAAAAUGUUAGUGGUCUCCCCUCAUCCCAACAUCCUUUGUCCUCUGAGAUAAGAAUAGUUCUUUACUGCAGACAUAACACAUGACUCUAACAACCAGUCUCUCUGAACAGCUUUUCUUUGGUUUGGUGACCUAAGGAGAAGGUCUUGUGUCAGAUAACAAUUCCUGUGUCAAGAUAGGCUUGAGAAAAGCAACCUCUAACCACAAAUUGAAGACAAUUCCUUAUAAGCAUCUCUCUAGAGGCAGUGAGCAACAGGAGACUGUGCGACUUUUGACUUUAAAGGCAGCACCAGGAUCCAAUUCCUCUCAUACACAGAGCACCUAGCAAAGGCCCUGGCACUGGCCAGUGAGCAGUAUUAGACAUGUGGCCCAACUCAUUCAAGGCAAAAUUCCUUCUUGAACAUUUUAUAACACAAAAGACAAAAAUAAACACAAUCAUAUCUGAUCCUAUUUCUUCUUUGUUUGUGUGUUUGUUUUUACCACAGUCCCUAGAGAUACAGACUUGACCUAGGGUAGAAACAAGCUGCACCACCUCCAGCAAUGGUUCUGAAAAGGCACUCUUCACACACUUAUCUGCUGAAGCAGUGACUCAUGAAAUUCACAACGUGCUAAGAUUCGGUGAGAAACACUUCAUAUCAAAUUAACAUAAGCAAAAGGUUACUUGAGGGAACACUGCACUACUUUUUUAGGUGACCCAGUUAUGGCUAAAUUUGGAAAGUUGGCAAGGCUGAUUCUUCCCUUGAAAACAGAUCUCACAGAAAUAUAAGAUACUAUGAAGCCUCAGGGCCCAGUUUUUUGCCGUGGCAUCCAUAGUGAGUAGGGCCACUUGACAAAGUCAGACACUGUGGAUGUGUCUGGUCACUUCAGGUUGCCACUGAGAUAACCGUUUUCUAGAGUAUGCUUUGUGAGACAGAAAUCAGAGGACAAAUCAAACUACAAACAAUUAAACAAAAACUUAAAUACUGAUAAGUAUAUGCCAAGCACUGUUUCAAGUGCUAUGUAAAUGUUUAUUCCCAUAA